rnacentral:rRNA from 1 species
UACGUAGGGUGCAAGCGUUAAUCGGAAUUACUGGGCGUAAAGCGUGCGCAGGCGGCUUUGCAAGACAGAUGUGAAAUCCCCGGGCUUAACCUGGGAACUGCAUUUGUGACUGCAUGGCUGGAGUGCGGCAGAGGGGAUGGAAUUCCGCGUGUAGCAGUGAAAUGCGUAGAUAUGCGGAGGAACACCGAUGGCGAAGGCAAUCCCCUGGGCCUGCACUGACGCUGAGGAGCGAAAGCAUGGGGAGCGAACAGG